GAACAGAGGGUCGUCGAGUGCGCUGUCCGGUCCUGCCCGCGUUCGGGCCAGUUUUGACCCCAGCCCUUGCGGCCCGUGAACAUUCGAAACAAGAAACACGGGAGCGAUUCUUCCCUGACUCUCGCAUGCCAUGCAUGCCAGGGGGCGUCCGUGAUUUUUACUGUGACUAAAGAAGUGCGACCAAAGCAGUCAUUUCGACUUGAAUUAGAAAGCAUGGGAUAACAAGAGACAGCCUUGGGGCUACCGUUUCGGCUUUUGUUGGUUUUAGAGGUCCUUUGGAGAUUAUGGGUCCGGUGCGACGCGGCGUCACCUUCUGGUGGCGCCGCUUUGGCGCGCGCAAGCGCGUCAACUCGCCGGCCCAGGAAUGAAGGAGGGUAGUCGGGGGAGAACGUACUCGAGCGUCAGAGGUGAAAUUCUUAGACCGAUCGAAGACGAACUACAGCGGAGGCAUUCUUCAAGGAUACCUUCCUCAAUCAAGAACCAAAGUGUGGAGAUCGAAGAUGAUUAGAGACCAUUGUAGUCCACACUGCAAACGAUGACACCCAUGAAUUGGGGACUUUUUGGGUGCUCCAGCGCGCUUCCUUUUCGGGACUCGCGCUGGUCACCCGCCUUUACCAAACCUACGUGCCUAUUCUGUCCGGCGGGGGGUCACACCCCCGCCCCCC
rnacentral:rRNA from 1 species